rnacentral:rRNA from 1 species
UACAGAGGCCUCAAGCGUUAGGCGGAAUCACUGGGCUUAAAGCGUGUGUAGGCGGACUUCUAAGUACCUUGUGAAAUCCCACGGCUUAACUGUGGAACUGCUUGGUAUACUGGUUGUCUUGAGCCACUCAGGGGCGAGCGGAACAAAUGGUGGAGCGGUGAAAUGCGUAGAUAUCAGGAGGAACACCGGUGGUGUAGACGGCUUUCUGGACCGUAACUGACGCUGAAACACGAAAGCGUGGGUAGCAAACAGG